UACGGAGGGAGCUAGCGUUGUUCGGAAUCAUUGGGCGUAAAGAGCGCGUAGGCGGUCCGGUAAGUCCGCUCUGAAAGCCCGGGGCUCAACCCCGGGAGGCGGGCGGAUACUGUCGGGCUAGAGUCCGGAAGAGGCGAGUGGAAUUCCUGGUGUAGCGGUGAAAUGCGCAGAUAUCAGGAGGAACACCGAUGGCGAAGGCAGCUCGCUGGGACGGUACUGACGCUGAGGCGCGAAAGCGUGGGGAGCAAACAGG
rnacentral:rRNA from 1 species